AGGCCCCACCAGGGGGGAUGAGGGGUGGGUAGGUGGGGGGAGCUCUGUGCCCCCCGGCUCGCCCGGGCCCGGCGGGCAGAACCCCAGCGCCGUUCCGCACUCGCGGAAUCCCGCCGGGGCGGCAGCGGGACCCUCCGCGGCGGCGGGGAGAGGCAGAGCCCUGGCACCCCCGGCCCGCUCCCGAGCUAAAAAAUGACCUUUCCCUGCAUAAUUUUGGAGGUAACCUAGCUGCGUAAUUAUAUUUGCACUUACAGAAGACUGCAUCAGAGUUCCCUUAUUGGUUUGAAAUUCCAUUAAAUAUAUUGCAAGAGCUCCUAGGUUAAGCUUGAUUUAAAUUUGCAUACAUUUUCAUAUAUUUAGCAGAAAUAAAAGAAGGCUUGCAGCUACCAGAAAGUCAUUAAGGCAUUAGUUUCUCUGAGAAGACAGAUCUGAAGAAAAUUCAAGAAAAUGAGAAAAUAGAUAUAAAUAAGAGGGCAAGUUGCAUUUUAUAUCUCAUGUGGAAGCAGACAUCGUUACAGAUGCAGAGCGGAGAUGUCAGUGAGAACUGCCAACAUGACCGGGUUGGCAUUGUGGAGACAGGCAGCAUCACAGACUGCUUGAGCAGCUCAGCAGGAGAAGAGCCAGCCCUGCACUGACAAUGUGGUUUGAACAGAGGUCUGUGGUGUUCCAGCUCAUUGGAAACUUUUGUGCUUAAACCAGGAGGAUGCUAUAAAUGGAGCUAAUCUGAAAAGUACUUCUCAUCCCAGUUUGCAAAUUCCCAGUGUUUACCUCCGACUCUUAUUUCAACCCAAUUUAAGGUUUUCUGCUUGUUGAACACUUAGACUUCAGGUAAGAAUCUCAAUUAUAGGAGAAGUGCCUUGAUUUGUCAGACCCUACAGGUUUUAGCGUUGGUUGUUAAUACCAGCAAUUCCCAAAUCCUAUUCAGUUGACUCUGAAAACUGUAUUCGGGAGGCGUUCAGUGAUCCUGCAUUCAAAUGGUUAAUUUGCACUAUGUUCUGUUAAAGAAAAGGAAAACUGUCACCCUGUCAUUUUAGAGUCUGACACUAAGCUUGUCAAAAGAGACAGCUGUUAAACUGAAUUACUGUUGACAUGCAGAGAAACGGGCCUUGCCAGAUGUAAAGGACAUCUGCGGCAAUGAAGUGGUACAGGGUGGCUUUUAAAAUGUGGUCAUACUGGUAUUUGAAUAGAGAGUCUAUGGCAUUAAAACGUGGCCUUGACUCAGACAGUUUAAGGCAGCGAACCAGAGCCAAUGAGAAGCACAAAGAAGAGCUGAUCUGUUGCUGUAUCCAUAACUUAUGCAUGAAUAUGAAAACAGUGCAGUGUCAAAGCUAUUAGGCUCUUAUCUUGUAUCCAGGAGGAUGUGGGUUUAAAACACAGUGGGAAAUAUUUUGUGUUUCUGGGUCCUUGAAUGUGCGGGUAGGUGAGGUGUAAAUUCAUAAGGUGGAUUAUGUAGGGAAUGAAUAGAAAUAAGGCUUCUUGUCUUCAGCUAACAACUGUUCAGACAAGAAUUGCAAAGGGCAUUAGCUUAGGAAGUGAGUGCUGGAUGUGCCUCACCGAUGUUUCCUAUCAGGAUGCUGGCAUGCAGAGCACAUGGAUGGGUGCUAGGAAGUUUUCCUUCAGAGAGGGGGGCAAAUAAAAAUGGGAAGAGCUGCACAGAGAGGCCUGUAGAAUUUUGUAUCCUAAUGUGAUUUUCAUUAAAAAAAGUCAGGAUAUAAAAUCCAUUUUGUGAAAAAAUGUAGAUAUUAUGAAUAUUUUAUAAUUUAGCAAUGGAACCAAGGGUAGGGAAUUCUUCACAUUAUAUAAGUGUGUAUGUCUUUGAUUCGCAUGUUUUUAGGGUAGGAAUGAAGCUGCUUUGGAAAAAAAAAGGAACCAGUUAAACAUUUUGCUAAAUGUAUGAAAAAUGAAAUGCUAUGAGACGAAGCAUGUAUUCAUUAUGAAACAAAAUUGAUGUUUGAAGCUAAAAAAGAAAAAUAUUCAGGCCAAACAGAAUUUUGAAUAUGUUAGCAGAUCAUAUCUUGAUUUAUUUGUAUGCUUAGUGGUGGCGGAAACCAAGGAGUUUGCCAUCUGUGGGGAAGAAGGCAAAUGCUAUUUCUAAACCACAUAGGCUAACCUGCUUGUUUCUGCAGGAGAGUAACCACCACAGCAGCAAUUUGUUCUAAGCAGGCAAAGUGCUGGAAGAGGUGUGUGCAAGAGGUGUUUUCUUCUCAGGAAGAAGAAAGUUUGCUUUCCAAGCACCUGGGUUUCUCUAUGCAGAAAAUCCAAUGUCAGUUGAGGUGGACUUCUUCCCCUACGCUUCCUCUAAGGUGGUGGAAAGACCAGGGCCCAUUUAGGUCUUGAGAUGAUUUGAGCUGAUGCCCUGCAUUGCUCUGAGGGUGUCCUUUUACCAUGGAGAGCAUUUAGCAUCCUGUGCUGGCCAAAAUGCAUUGCUACCUGCUGCCCACCACCGCAAUGCGAAGGGGUGAAUGAUCUGUGCCCGUGGUCUAGCUGGACAGCCUCUGGAUUGCUGGAGGGAGAUGCAUGGUGGUGUGUGAUUUAUGCAUGGUAAUGUGUGAUUUAUGGAGCUGACUCUACGCAGUGUGUGUGUGUAUGGGGGGGUUCUGCAGGGUAGUGCUGCUGCCAAAUCUGACCAAAGGGCUACCUACACAUGUAACCAGCAGUGCUCUCACUGGUCCAUAUGGCCGUGGAUGGCUGGGCUACCACAGGAGAUGGCUUUACAAGUACAAAUACCUGUGAUCUAACACAGCCCAUCCUGAAAUCACAUUUAUCAACAGCUGCCAGAGGUCUGCUGUGCAUGAGGGAGGUAGUAAGUAGUGUCAGUGUUUAACCACUGUGGUAUGGGCAGCAAACAGAGUAGUCGUGUUUGUGCAGUCUCCAGGAGUUAAUGACUCGUGCUUUGUCCCAGCCUCUGCUGGGAGGCUUUCAGGAGGAGUAGUCAGGAUGACUGUGCUCCUGUGGGGUCAGAGCACACUGGUACAUUUGGGGUUCCUGAUGCUUUGAGAGCUGGUUCCUCAAGAAUAACUUAUACGGGGACAACAGAGAUUCUUUACAGCAGCUCAUUUCUUGCCCUGUGGGUUGUGGGAUCUCGGUGACA